rnacentral:lncRNA from 1 species
CAAAUUUAAAACCUUUUUCCACUUCCUCCUUGGAUGGGUGUUCUGUGCAUAAGUGCUCUACAGAUUCAGGCAUCUGGGGAUUUUGCAGACACUAUCUACCCUCAGCUCAAACCCAUCUGCUACCCAAGAGAGCAUGUUGUUACAGCCUGCUGAACCAACAGCCCAACAGAGCCUCCAUUUACAUACUGAAAGACCACUAUCGGGUCUCUCCAGAGCCUUCUCUUCUCCGGGCUGAGCAGCCCCAGCUCUCUCAGGUUCCUCCCCAUGCCAUGCCAUUGUGCCUGUGGGCUGAGCGAUGCUCCCUCACCACCAUGGGAAGACACUGCACGGUUUGCCUGCCACUGCCCAGUCCAUCACUGACUCGUGCUUGCCACCACUUACCCCUGGAAGGAAAUGAAAUGUGACUGUGUUUAAGGCCUUUGGCAGGAGAAUUCUACAUAAACAUUUAUCAGCAGCCAUAUGGAG